rnacentral:rRNA from 1 species
GACGAACGCUGGCGGCGUGCUUAACACAUGCAAGUCGAACGGAAAGGCCCUGCUUUUGUGGGGUGCUCGAGUGGCGAACGGGUGAGUAACACGUGAGUAACCUGCCCUUGACUUUGGGAUAACUUCAGGAAACUGGGGCUAAUACCGGAUAGGAGCUCCUGCUGCAUGGUGGGGGUUGGAAAGUUUCGGCGGUUGGGGAUGGACUCGCGGCUUAUCAGCUUGUUGGUGGGGUAGUGGCUUACCAAGGCUUUGACGGGUAGCCGGCCUGAGAGGGUGACCGGCCACAUUGGGACUGAGAUACGGCCCAGACUCCUACGGGAGGCAGCAGUGGGGAAUAUUGCACAAUGGGCGGGAGCCUGAUGCAGCAACGCCGCGUGCGGGAUGACGGCCUUCGGGUUGUAAACCGCUUUCGCCUGUGACGAAGCGUGAGUGACGGUAAUGGGUAAAGAAGCACCGGCUAACUACGUGCCAGCAGCCGCGGUGAUACGUAGGGUGCGAGCGUUGUCCGGAUUUAUUGGGCGUAAAGGGCUCGUAGGUGGUUGAUCGCGUCGGAAGUGUAAUCUUGGGGCUUAACCCUGAGCGUGCUUUCGAUACGGGUUGACUUGAGGAAGGUAGGGGAGAAUGGAAUUCCUGGUGGAGCGGUGGAAUGCGCAGAUAUCAGGAGGAACACCAGUGGCGAAGGCGGUUCUCUGGGCCUUUCCUGACGCUGAGGAGCGAAAGCGUGGGGAGCGAACAGGCUUAGAUACCCUGGUAGUCCACGCUGUAAACGGUGGGUACUAGGUGUGGGGUCCAUUCCACGGGUUCCGUGCCGUAGCUAACGCUUUAAGUACCCCGCCUGGGGAGUACGGCCGCAAGGCUAAAACUCAAAGGAAUUGACGGGGCCCCGCACAAGCGGCGGAGCAUGCGGAUUAAUUCGAUGCAACGCGUAGAACCUUACCUGGGUUUGACAUGGAUCGGGAGUGCUCAGAGAUGGGUGUGCCUCUUUUGGGGUCGGUUCACAGGUGGUGCAUGGCUGUCGUCAGCUCGUGUCGUGAGAUGUUGGGUUAAGUCCCGCAACGAGCGCAACCCUUGUUCACUGUUGCCAGCACGUUAUGGUGGGGACUCAGUGGAGACCGCCGGGGUCAACUCGGGGGAAGGUGGGGAUGACGUCAAGUCAUCAUGCCCCUUAUGUCCAGGGCUUCACGCAUGCUACAAUGGCUGGUACAGAGAGUGGCGAGCCUGUGAGGGUGAGCGAAUCUCGGAAAGCCGGUCUCAGUUCGGAUUGGGGUCUGCAACUCGACCUCAUGAAGUCGGAGUCGCUAGUAAUCGCAGAUCAGCAACGCUGCGGUGAAUACGUUCCCGGGGCU